AUAAAUAUCACGUGUGCAGUAUGCGACAGCAGCGGGAAACAGUAUAUUCAUGCAGUGUGCACAUGUCAAAAGAGUAAAUCCGAUCAGAAGCUUGUGACAUAUAAACGCGCAUAUCAACCCGGUCACCAUCAACCUCAGCUCUUCUUUCUCUUUAUCCUACAUCCUCAGCUCUUCUUUCUCGUACAUCCUCAGCUCUCCUUUCUCUUACAUCCUCCGCUCUUCUUUCUCUUACACCCUCAGCACCUCUGUCUCCUUCAACCUCAGCUCUUCGUUCUCUUCCCUCCUCAGCUCCUCUUUCUCUUACAUUCUCAGCGCUUCUUUCUCCUACACCCUCAGCUCCUCCUUCACCUACACCCUCAGCUCUUCUUCCUCUUUCUCUUUCUCCCUCAGCUCUUCUUCCUCUUUCUCUUACAUCCUCUCCUCUUCUUUCUCUUUAUUUCAGUCUCCGCCCUCUUUUUUCUUUCUCUUUCUCUUACACCCUCAGCACCUCUGUCUCCUUCAACCUCAGCUCUUCGUUCUCUUCCCUCCUCAGCUCCUCCUUCACCUACACCCUCAGCUCUUCUCUCUCUUACACCCUCAGCUCUUCUUCCUCUUUCUCUUUCUCCCUCAGCUCUUCUUCCUCUUUCUCUUUCUCCCUCAGCUCUUCUUCCUCUUUCUCUUUCUUCCUCAUUUUUUCUUUCUCUUUCUCUUGCAUCCUCAGCUCUUCCUUCUCUUUAUCCUACCUCCGCAGCUCUUCUUUCUCCUACUUCCUCUGCUCUUCCUUCUCUUACAUCUUCUGCUCUUCUUUCUCUUACCUCCACAGCUCUUCUUACUCUUUCUCUUACAUUCUCAGCUCUUCUUUCUUCUACUUCCUCCGCUCUUCCUUCUCUUACAUCCUCAUCCCUUCCUUCUCUUUCUCUUACAUCUUCUGCUCUUCUUUCUCUUUCCCUUACAUCCUCAGCUCUCCUUUCUCCUACAUCCCCAGCUCUUCUUUCUCCUACGCCCUCAGCUCCCCUUUCUCCUACAUCCUCUGCUCUUCUUUCUCCUACCUCCUCACCUCUUCUUUCUCUUUCAUCCUCAGCCCUUCUUUCUCUUGCUUCCUCUGCUCUUCCUUCUCUUACAUCUUCUGCUCUUCUUUCUCUUUCUUUUUCUUUUCUCUUUCUCUUUCUUCCUCAUUUUUUCUUUCUCUUUCUUUUAUUCUUUCUCUUUCUUUUACACUCUCCGCUCCUUUUUCUCUCUCUUCUACAUCUUCCUCUUCUCUUUCUUCUUCUCCUACUUUUUCCUCUUCUCUUUCUUCUUCAUCUCUUCUUUCUCUUACCUCCUCAGCUAUUCUUUCUCCUACAUACUCAGCUCUUCUUUCCCCUACAUCCUCAGCUCUCCUUUCUCUUACAUCCUCAGCUCUUCUUUCUCUUUCUCUUACAUUCUCAGCUCUUCUUUCUCUUGCUCCUACAUCUUCAGCUCUUCUUGCACCUUCUCCUACAUCUUCAGCUCUUCUUGCUCUUUCUCCUUCUCCUCUUCCUCUUCUUCUCCCUCUACCCUGUCCACCACCUCUCACUCUUACACUUACACUUCUUCCUUUUCCACUGCUCAUUCUUCUUCUUUUUAUUGUCUUUUCUCCUCAUUCGUCUUUGUUGUUUUUCUCUUCCCCUUUUGUAUUUGUUGUAA
ensembl:lncRNA